rnacentral:rRNA from 1 species
UAGGGAAUCUUCCGCAAUGGGCGAAAGCCUGACGGAGCAACGCCGCGUGAGUGAUGAAGGUCUUCGGAUCGUAAAACUCUGUUAUUAGGGAAGAACAAAUGUGUAAGUAACUAUGCACGUCUUGACGGUACCUAAUCAGAAAGCCACGGCUAACUACGUGCCAGCAGCCGCGGUAAUACGUAGGUGGCAAGCGUUAUCCGGAAUUAUUGGGCGUAAAGCGCGCGUAGGCGGUUUUUUAAGUCUGAUGCGAAAGCCCACGGCUCAAACGUGGAGGGUCAUUGGAAACUGGGAAACUUGAGUGCAGAAGAGGAAAGUGGGAAUCCAUGUGUAGCGGUGAAAUGCGCAGAGAUAUGGGGGGACACCAGUGGCGAAGGCGACUUUCUGGGCUGUAACUGGCGCUGAUGUGCGAAAGCGUGGGGAUCAAACAGG